UACGUAGGGGGCGAGCGUUGUCCGGAGUUACUGGGCGUAAAGGGCACGUAGGCGGUCGUGUCAGUUUCUAGUGACAGGUCAGGGCUUAACCCUGGCAGGCCUGGAAAGACGGCAUGACUUGAGGGCUUCAGAGGGACGCGGAAUUCCAGGUGGAGCGGUGAAAUGCGUAGAGAUCUGGAAGAACACCAAAGGCGAAGGCAGCGUUCUGGGAAGUUUCUGACGCUGAGGUGCGAAAGCCAGGGGAG
rnacentral:rRNA from 1 species